rnacentral:rRNA from 1 species
CAGUAGCCGCGGUAAAACGGAGGGUGCGAGCGUUAAUCGGAAUUACUGGGCGUAAAGCGUACGCAGGCGGUUUGUUAAGUCAGAUGUGAAAUCCCCGAGCUUAACUCGGGAACUGCAUUUGAAACUGGCAGGCUAGAGUCUCGUAGAGGGGGGUAGAAUUCCAGGUGUAGCGGUGAAAUGCGUAGAGAUCUGGAGGAAUACCGGUGGCGAAGGCGGCCCCCUGGACGAAGACUGACGCUCAGGUACGAAAGCGUGGGGAGCAAACAGGAUUAGAGACCCGCGUAGUCCCUGUCUCUUAUAC